UACCAAUGGCAUGGCAGAGUAGCCAAGUUCGGCAGGGAUAAACGCUGAAGGCAUCUAAGCGUGAAGCCCCCCUCAAGAUGAGAUAUCUCAUAGCAUAAGCUAGUAAGACCCCUUGAAGACGACGAGGUGGAUAGGACAGAGGUGGAAGCAUGGCAACAUGUGGAGCUGACUGUUACUAAUAGGUCGAGGGCUUGACCAUA
rnacentral:rRNA from 1 species